UCUCUCUUCUACUCUCACUUCUCAUCUCCUACAUCACUAGAUGCCCUCAUAUCGCACGUCGUCUCCUUAUGUUUCUGCCCUGUAUUUUGUUCCAUCAUCUCUUAUAUUUAUGAUGCUUUCUUCUUCGUCAAGAAUUAUAACUUCAACUCGGGCUAUUGCUACGGAAAAGUUUGUUGGUCAUGCCAACUACUCUUCUUGGUCUAAGCCGUCAAGAUGCGGUGUCGAGGUCAAGGCCUAUUCAACCAUUUGGUUACACCUUUGGAAUCACAAGAUUCUAAAUCCCGGGAUGAUUGGUUAAUAACCGAUGUCUUAUUGUACACUUUAUUAUGCUUUAUUAUGGCAGUCCAUAGAUUCAUCACUCCAUCCUAUUUUCAUUGCCUUACCAAUUGCCACGAGUUAUGGAAUCAAACAACUCUUUUAUACACAAACGAUAUCCAUCGUUUGUAUGAGGAGAGUCUGCUGCUGAAGAGCUUAAGCAACCCGAUACAUUCUUUAUGGUUGCUGCUAUAUCUUCUUUGGACUUCAUUUCAUCGGGAGUAAAUUCUGCUUUAGUGUUUAAUAAUGCUACUAACGAGAUUCUUGAAAAUCGACGUACUUCUCAAGGUGGAGGCAUUCGUCCCCGUUGUACUCACUGCAACAGGUGGGGACAUACUAAGGAAAGAUGCUACAAAUUGAAGGAUCCUUAGAGUGCAACGAGGAUGUUGCAUUCUUAAGUGGGGGAUGUAAUACCUCUGGAGUUGUGCCAGAGCUAGGCCAACUUCAGUAGAUGUGCCGGUGCCAGGCCAUCAAAGAUUGAAUAGUAACUAAAUGAAUUGAAAAGACUACUCAUGUCAACAAUGUACACAUUCCUUUUUUGGAAGCCCUACUGAAAGAAUUCUAGAAGCGUGCUUACUCUAGAGUAAUUUGAGGAUUGGUGACCCUUUGGGAAGUCUCCUAGGGUGCGCGUGAGUGAGGACAGAAGCGCGUUGGAAGGACUAGUGUUGACUUGCGGGGCCAAUCUACAAUCCCGAUACGCCUGGCUUUGCAUGACUUGCGGGCCGGGCUGUCACAGUUGAUAUCAAAGCCGACCAGCGAUAGCUCACAGUCGUUCACCAGUGAGCGAGGAUAUAAUAUCCUCGGAGUUGCGCCGGAGUUAGGCCAACUCCCGUGGAUUAGUCGGUGCCAGACCAUCCAAGAUUGAAUAGUAAUCAAAUUGAUUGAAUAGACUACUCAUGUAAACAAUAUGCACAUUCCUUUUCGAAAACUCUACUGAAAGAACUUUAGAGUUGCGUGAGUGAGGAAAGAAGCACGUUGGAAGAACUCGUGUUGACCAUUGGGGCCAUUCUAUGAUCCCGAUAUGCUAGCAUUUGUGUGGUUUGCAGGCCAAAGUGUCACACAUGUUGACUCACCUCCACCUCAAGUUGAUGUCUCUCAGUCUAUGGUGAUCAGUGGUUCGGAUUAUGCAGAGUUCCUUUAGUACCAAGCUUCGAAGCAGUCCAUUCCUUCUGACGGUUCUAUUUCCGGUCCGGUCGCAUGCGUCUCUUAUACAUGCCCUCUUGGUUAUUGGAUACUUGAUUCUGGUGCUUCAGGUCAUAUCUUUCGUAAUCUCUUUCUUUUCUCUUCCUCUUCUCCCUCCACAUCUUUACCCUUAU